GUACAACCGAAAUUAAGAAAACAAAAAAUGUUGCUCGUCUAUCAGCUCUAUAUAUAGCCACUUUCUUCUCGUAUUGUUCUUCAUCACAUCGUAAACUCCAAGAAAGCAAAACCCUCCUUAGUGUUCUCAAGCUAUUUCAAGAUGACGAUCACAGAGAUGAGAGUUCAUAUGGAUUGUGCUGGCUGUGAAGCCAAAAUUAAGAAGGCCCUUCAAAAACUAAAUGGAGUAGAUGACAUAGACAUAGACAUGGCCAUGCAAAAAGUGACAGUGAUGGGUUGGGCAGACCAGAAGAAGGUUCUUAAAGCAGUAAGGAAAACAGGAAGAAGAGCUGAGCUAUGGCCAUACCCUUAUAAUCCUGAAUAUUAUAAUUUCAACCAGCAGUACUAUUAUCAGCAGCAACAAGAAACCCAACCUGCUGAAGUAAUCACCUAUUAUGCACCUCAGUACUCCACCUCCUCAUACAACUAUCGCAGGCAUGGCUACAGUAAUGAGGACUAUGGCUAUUAUCAAACGCCACCUUAUUCAAUUGUUGAUGAAAAGGCUAGUGCCAUGUUCAGUGAUGAAAAUCCUCAUGCUUGCUCCAUAAUGUAAUAUGGUUGGUGAAGUUGUUUCAGUGGAAUUGGAACCAGUCCAAAGGGAUAUGUGAAUCCCUUGUAUAUAGCUAAGAUAUCAAACGCAAGUGUUUUUGUGGAUCUACAGGAUAUGUAUGUACUCUAUAUAGUCUAAAUUGUGAAAUUCUUGACCUUGAGAAAUUUCUUUACAAGAUUCAGCUCCAGCCAUUCAAAGGCAUCGAUGUAAC
rnacentral:misc_RNA from 1 species